UACGGAAGGCAGCAGUGGGGAAUAUUGCACAAUGGGCGAAAGCCUGAUGCAGCUAUGCCGCGUGUAUGAAGAAGGCCUUAGGGUUGUAAAGUACUUUCAUCGGGGAGGAAAAAACAAAACUAAUAAUUUUAUUUCUUGACGUUACCCGAAAAAGAAGCACCGGCUAACUCCGUGCCAGCAGCCGCGGUAAUACGGAGGGUGCUAGCGUUAAUCAGAAUUACUGGGCGUAAAGAGCACGUAGGUGGUUUUUUAAGUUCAGAUGUGAAAUCCCUGGGCUUAACCUAGGAACUGCAUUUUGAAACUGAAAUACUAGAGUAUCGUAGAGGGAGGUAGAAUUCUAGGUGUAGCGGUGAAAUGCGUAGAUAUCUGGAGGAAUACCUGUGGCGAAAGCGGCCUCCUAAACGAAUACUGACACUGAGGUGCGAAAGCGUGGGGAGCAAACGAGGAUUAGAUACC
rnacentral:rRNA from 1 species